rnacentral:rRNA from 1 species
AUUGAACGCUGGCGGCAGGCCUAACACAUGCAAGUCGAACGGUAACAGGAAGAAGCUUGCUUCUUUGCUGACGAGUGGCGGACGGGUGAGUAAUGUCUGGGAAACUGCCUGAUGGAGGGGGAUAACUACUGGAAACGGUAGCUAAUACCGCAUAACGUCGCAAGACCAAAGAGGGGGACCUUCGGGCCUCUUGCCAUCGGAUGUGCCCAGAUGGGAUUAGCUAGUGGGUGGGGUAACGGCUCACCUAGGCGACGAUCCCUAGCUGGUCUGAGAGGAUGACCAGCCACACUGGAACUGAGACACGGUCCAGACUCCUACGGGAGGCAGCAGUGGGGAAUAUUGCACAAUGGGCGCAAGCCUGAUGCAGCCAUGCCGCGUGUAUGAAGAAGGCCUUCGGGUUGUAAAGUACUUUCAGCGGGGAGGAAGGGAGUAAAGUUAAUACCUUGGCUCAUUGACGUUACCCGCAGAAGAAGCACCGGCUAACUCCGUG